CCCUUAGAUGUUCUGGGCCGCACGCGCGCUACACUGACGAAUGCAACGAGCUUAUAACCUUGGCCGAAAGGUCUGGGUAAUCUCCAAAUUUCGUCGUGAUGGGGAUAGAUUAUUGCAAUUAUUAAUCUUCAACGAGGAAUUCCUAGUAGACGUAGUUCAUCAGACUGCAUCGAUUACGUCCCUGCCCUUUGUACACACCGCCCGUCGCUCCUACCGAUUGGAUGAUCCGGUGAGCUAUUCGGACCUUCGCUUCGUCGAUUUUCGGCUUUGUGAGGGAAAGUCUCGCGAACCUUAUCAUCUAGAGGAAGGAGAAGUCGUAACA
rnacentral:rRNA from 1 species